GUCGAGCGAACGGACGAGAAGCUUGCUUCUCUGAUGUUAGCGGCGGACGGGUGAGUAACACGUGGAUAACCUACCUAUAAGACUGGGAUAACUUCGGGAAACCGGAGCUAAUACCGGAUAAUAUUUUGAACCGCAUGGUUCAAAAGUGAAAGACGGUCUUGCUGUCACUUAUAGAUGGAUCCGCGCUGCAUUAGCUAGUUGGUAAGGUAACGGCUUACCAAGGCAACGAUGCAUAGCCGACCUGAGAGGGUGAUCGGCCACACUGGAACUGAGACACGGUCCAGACUCCUACGGGAGGCAGCAGUAGGGAAUCUUCCGCAAUGGGCGAAAGCCUGACGGAGCAACGCCGCGUGAGUGAUGAAGGUCUUCGGAUCGUAAAACUCUGUUAUUAGGGAAGAACAUAUGUGUAAGUAACUGUGCACAUCUUGACGGUACCUAAUCAGAAAGCCACGGCUAACUACGUGCCAGCAGCCGCGGUAAUACGUAGGUGGCAAGCGUUAUCCGGAAUUAUUGGGCGUAAAGCGCGCGUAGGCGGUUUUUUAAGUCUGAUGUGAAAGCCCACGGCUCAACCGUGGAGGGUCAUUGGAAACUGGAAAACUUGAGUGCAGAAGAGGAAAGUGGAAUUCCAUGUGUAGCGGUGAAAUGCGCAGAGAUAUGGAGGAACACCAGUGGCGAAGGCGACUUUCUGGUCUGUAACUGACGCUGAUGUGCGAAAGCGUGGGG
rnacentral:rRNA from 1 species